UCUUGGUCAUUUAGAGGAAGUAAAAGUCGUAACAAGGUCUCCGUUGGUGAACCAGCGGAGGGAUCAUUACCGAGUUUUCAACUCCCAAACCCUUAUGUGAACCUACCUAUCGUUGCUUCGGCGGACUCGCCCCAGCCGGACGCGGACUGGACCAGCGGCCGCCGGGGACCAUCAAACUCUUGUAUUAUCAGCAUCUUCUGAAUACGCCGCAAGGCAAAACAAAUAAAUUAAAACUUUCAACAACGGAUCUCUUGGCUCUGGCAUCGAUGAAGAACGCAGCGAAAUGCGAUAAGUAAUGUGAAUUGCAGAAUCCAGUGAAUCAUCGAAUCUUUGAACGCACAUUGCGCCCGCCAGCAUUCUGGCGGGCAUGCCUGUUCGAGCGUCAUUUCAACCCUCGACCUCCCUUUGGGGAAGUCGGCGUUGGGGACCGGCAGCACACCGCCGGCCCUGAAAUGGAGUGGCGGCCCGUCCGCGGCGACCUCUGCGUAGUAAACCAACUCGCACCGGAACCCCGACGUGGCCACGCCGUAAAACACCCAACUUCUGAACGUUGACCUCGAAUCAG
rnacentral:sRNA from 1 species